AGUGAACGCUGGCGGUAGGCCUAACACAUGCAAGUCGAACGGCAGCACAGUAAGAGCUUGCUCUUACGGGUGGCGAGUGGCGGACGGGCGAGGAAUACAUCGGAAUCUACUUUUUCGUGGGGGAUAACGUAGGGAAACUUACUCUAAUACCGCAUACGACCUACGGGUGAAAGCAGGGGAUCUUCGGACCUUGCGCGAUUGAAUGAGCCGAUGUCGGAUUAGCUAGUUGGCGGGGUAAAGGCCCACCAAGGCGACGAUCCGUAGCUGGUCUGAGAGGAUGAUCAGCCACACUGGAACUGAGACACGGUCCAGACUCCUACGGGAGGCAGCAGUGGGGAAUAUUGGACAAUGGGCGCAAGCCUGAUCCAGCCAUACCGCGUGGGUGAAGAAGGCCUUCGGGUUGUAAAGCCCUUUUGUUGGGAAAGAAAAGCAGCAGGUUAAUACCCCGCUGUUCUGACGGUACCCAAAGAAUAAGCACCGGCUAACUUCGUG
rnacentral:rRNA from 1 species